AGGGGUGUAGCUCAUUAGUGAGAGCACUCGCUUUGCGUGUGAGAGGCCCCGGGUUCGAUCCCCGGCACCUCCA
rnacentral:tRNA from 1 species